rnacentral:rRNA from 1 species
UACGUAGGGAGCAAGCGUUGUUCGGAUUUACUGGGCGUAAAGGGCGCGUAGGCGGCAAAUUAAGUCAGCUGUGAAAUCUCCGAGCUUAACUCGGAACGGUCAGCUGAUACUGAUCUGCUAGAGUGCGGAAGGGGCAAUCGGAAUUCUUGGUGUAGCGGUGAAAUGCGUAGAUAUCAAGAGGAACACCUGAGGUGAAGACGGGUUGCUGGGCCGACACUGACGCUGAGUGCGCGAAGGCUAGGGGAGCGAACGGG